GCCAAGAUAGUUAAAAAAUAACAUUAGGUCGUGACCCUAAAGAUAGAGGUUUGUGCCUCUUCCCGGCC
rnacentral:tRNA from 1 species